UUGUAUUUUGUAGUUGGUUAUAGUUGCGUGUCUGAAAAUAUUUAUGAGUGGAAUAGAUUGCAGUCGGUUUUUAACCGGUCAGAUAUGUUUGGAAUAUCAAAAAUUGUGUAAAAGCAAAGACUAAAAUGUAUUCGGGCAGUGACUCCACUGAAUCACAAAACUACACCCAGUGGGCGUUGAAUCCGUCGACUUACCAGAACGUGUCCAAUGAGCAAGUGGAUUGGGCUGCAUUGGCCCAUCAAUGGAUUAUUAUGAAGGAGGCUGGGCCUCCAAUACCGGAACCUAUCGUAGUUCCGCCACCUCCUGUGAUCAGCAAACCUAAGAAGGAAGUGAUUGCAGAGGGUGGUGAGGCACCUAUGGAUGUUGUUAAUGAGGAUGAUCUUCCGGCACAGUGGUCUGACCCUGAGGAGGGAUUGAAUUGGAACCAGCAGCCGUGGGAGUGGAACAACUCCUGGUCUGGAAAUCCACCAUCAGUUCCACCACCAAAAGCACCUUUGCUUCCAACACCUUCCUAUAAUAAUUUUGUCCCACCCAAAGAAACUGGAACACCUCCAGUAACAACAGCAGCUGACACUCCAACCUAUGGUUUCAACUCUGUGGGUUCACCUGGAUAUUGGACUUCAUCUGGGGCUAGUUCAAAGGCAGGUGUGAAACCGCACAACAAAAGGUACAGCAAAGUCAACCUACCAUUGCCUCCUGCCAAAGCUCCCAUAACAUUGGAUGCAGCUAAACGCAAGCAAUUACCAGCAUGGAUCAGGGAUGGUUUAGAAAAGAUGGAACGUGACAAAAUCAAACAAUUGGACAGAGAUAGAGAGAAAUUGGAUAAGGAUGAAAUUGAGGAAAAGGCUAGAUUAAGGGAGAAUGCUUUGGAAAUAUUGAAGAGCACUGUCAAAGAAGUAGAAUCCACCAAAAAUAGUGCAUUUGUUGAGAAUGAUGAAUCUGAUGAUACACCAGUAAAUUCCCCACCAAGAUCUCCAACACCAUUAACUUAUGAGGAAAUGAUGUUGAAGGUUAGGAGAACGAUGACAGAAAUUUUAUUAAAGGUAACAAAUCGUGAAAUACAAAUCAUAUGUAGGGAAGAGCUGCAGCGACACAUAAGAAAGAUGCAAGCCUCAGACCAACGUGUAUCUGCACCCACCGGUGCGAACCUUAGUAACAAACUCGGUCUUGGAGCGUACGAGGAAUCUGGGGACAGCAGCGGCGACAGCGAUGAGGAGUCAAAUAAUCACGGGAGCCACGAUUCCGAUUCGGAUCUGCGGGACACUAUAAGGAGAAGGAAAGAGGAGUUUUUGAAAAUUGAAAGAGACAUUGAAGAUCGCUUGGCUGAUGCUGAUAGGAAAGGUGGGGAUAAUGAUAGUAGAGCGACGACUCCGGACAGUGAAAGUCAGGUAGUCGCGAAGACAUUAGAUCGUAGAUCGAGGCGGACAUCGGAGGACGGUGGAGAAGGCACGCCGCCGCCCCCGCAAUCAAAGACCCUAAACUUCUCCUCGAAGAACUCGAGGAAACGGCAGUCGUCGAACUCGAGCGAUUCGAGCGUAGAUCGAAAGCGCGAGCGUCGCGACAAGCGGUCGCCGUCGAGCGAGUGCGGGAAACGGUCGUCGCGACGUUCCCGUUCUCGCACCCCCAAGUCCAAAAGACACAAGGCCCAGAGGCGAUCGAGGUCAUCCUCGAGGCGCAGGGGUGAUUCACGUCGUCGGGAUCGAAGGUCCCGGUAUUCGCGGUCCAGGUCCCGAUCAUACCGUCGCCGCAGACGCUCCCGAUCCGACAGCAGAUCCAGGUCCCGCAGCAGUCGUCGGUACCGCAGAUCAAGGUCGAGGUCGUACAGCAGCGGACGGGGUAAGAGGUCGAAUAGGCAUUGAGCAAAACGGCCCAAUCCAGUCUCUCUCACUCUCUCUAUCUCCCCCUCAAGAUACUGCAGGUUGUAUUUUUUGAAAAUAUUUACAGUUCUAAUUCAAGAUUUCUUGCAACGAUUUAAGCGAGGCCGCAAAAAUUCACUGCGAUAUUUAUUUAAAUAUUAACAUAGUAUUUUGUUCUAAGAAACUAUGACGAAAACAAAAAAAGACAAGCAAAAUUAAAUACUGAGCUAAACGUAUAUUUUCCUCUAACUCUCCUUGCACAAAAAAAA